rnacentral:snoRNA from 1 species
AGCAUCCUGAUGCUCACCAUUGACUGUGUUUUUACAAUGACUACAUAGAAAGAGGAGGCAAAGUAAGCCUACCCCAUAUACACUUCAGCCCAGGUCCUGUGCCUGCUCUGUAUCGUGAAAGGAGAGACAUGU